GACGAACGCUGGCGGCGUGCUUAACACAUGCAAGUCGAACGGAAAGGCCCUGCUUUUGUGGGGAGCUCGAGUGGCGAACGGGUGAGUAACACGUGAGUAACCUGCCCUUGACUUUGGGAGAACUUCAGGAAACUGGGGCUAAUACCGGAUAGGAGCUCCUGCUGCAUGGUGGGCGUUGGAAAGUUUCGGCCGUUGGGGAUGGACUCGCGGCUUAUCAGCUUGUUGGUGGGGUAGUGGCUGACCAAGGCUUUGACGGGUAGCCGGCCUGAGAGGGUGACCGGCCACAUUGGUACUGAGAUACGGCGCAGACUGCUACGGGAGGCAGCAGUGGAGAAUAUUGCACAAUGGGCGGAAGCCUGAUACAAAAACGCCGCGUGCGGGAUGAAGUCCUUCGGGUUGUAAACCGCUUUCGCCUGUGACGAAGCGUGAGUGACGGUAAUGGGUAAAGAAGCACCGGCUAACUACGUG
rnacentral:rRNA from 1 species